rnacentral:misc_RNA from 1 species
UGAUGAAGAACGUAGCGAAAUGCGAUAAGUAAUGUGAAUUGCAGAAUUCAGUGAAUCAUCGAAUCUUUGAACGCACAUUGCGCCCGCCAGUAUUCUGGCGGGCAUGCCUGUUCGAGCGUCAUUACAACCCUCAGGCCCCCGGGCCUGGCGUUGGGGAUCGGCGGAGCCCCCCGUGGGCACACGCCGUCCCCCAAAUGCAGUGGCGGUCCCGCCGCAGCUUCCAUCGCGUAGUAGCUAACACCUCGCGACUGGAGAGCGGCGCGGCCACGCCGUAAAACACCCAACUCUUCUGAAGUUGACCUCGAAUCAGGUAGGAAUACCCGCUGAACUUAAGCAUAUCAAUAAGCGGAGGA